rnacentral:rRNA from 1 species
GAUGAACGCUGGCGGCGUGCCUAAUACAUGCAAGUCGAGCGAACGGACGAGAAGCUUGCUUUUCUGAUGUUAGCGGCGAACGGGUGAGUAACACGUGGAUAACCUACCUAUAAGACUGGGAUAACUUCGGGAAACCGGAGCUAAUACCGGAUAAUAUUUUGAACCGCAUGGUUCAUAAGUGAAAGACGGUCUUGCUGUCACUUAUAGAUGGAUCCGCGCUGCAUUAGCUAGUUGGUAAGGUAACGGCUUACCAAGGCAACGAUGCAUAGCCGACCUGAGAGGGUGAUCGGCCACACUGGAACUGAGACACGGUCCAGACUCCUACGGGAGGCAGCAGUAGGGAAUCUUCCGCAAUGGGCGAAAGCCUGACGGAGCAACGCCGCGUGAGUGAUGAAGGUCUUCGGAUCGUAAAACUCUGUUAUUAGGGAAGAACAUAUGUGUAAGUAACUGUGCACAUCUUGACGGUACCUAAUCAGAAAGCCACGGCUAACUACGUG